UCCGGUAUGGUGUAUCGGCUAGCAUCCGUCGCUUUCAUACUCCAUGAUAGCUUCCGACGAGAGCCGGGUUCGAUUCCCGGUACCGGAA